GUGUCAGCAGCCGCGGUAAUACGUAGGAGACGAGCGUUAUCCGGAUUUACUGGGCGUAAAGAGGGCGUAGGCGGUCUUUCAAGUCGGAUGUGAAAUCUCCCGGCUUAACUGGGAGGGGUCAUUCGAUACUGUUGGGCUAGAGGGCAGCAGAGGGAGGUGGAAUUCCCGGUGUAGUGGUGAAAUGCGUAGAUAUCGGGAGGAACACCAGUGGCGAAGGCGGCCUCCUGGGCUGUUUCUGACGCUGAGGCCCAAAAGCGUGGGGAGCGAACAGGAUUAGAUACCCUGGUAGUCCACGCUGUAAACUAUGGACACUAGGUAUGGGGAGUAUCGACCCUUUCCGUGCCGAAGCUAACGCUUUAAGUGUCCCGCCUGGGGACUACGGCCGCAAGGCUAAAACUCAAAUGAAUUGACGGGG
rnacentral:rRNA from 1 species